rnacentral:rRNA from 1 species
AUACGGAGGGUGCAAGCGUUGUUCGGAAUUAUUGGGCGUAAAGAGCAUGUAGGCGGUUCGUUAAGUCUGAUGUGAAAGCCCGGGGCUCAACCCCGGAAGUGCAUUGGAUACUGGCGAACUUGAGUACGGGAGAGGAAAGUGGAAUUUCGAGUGUAGGGGUGAAAUCCGUAGAUAUUCGAAGGAACACCAGUGGCGAAGGCGGCUUUCUGGACCGAUACUGACGCUGAGAUGCGAAAGCGUGGGGAGCAAACAGGAUUAGAUACCCGGGUAGUCC